AACCGCCGUAUACGAGACCCGUACGUACGGUGGUGUGAGAGGCGCACCUCGUCAGUUACAACUGGCGAGGCCGUCUACUCGAU
rnacentral:ncRNA from 2 species